UACGUAGGGGCAAGCGUUGUCCGGAUUUAUUGGGCGUAAAGAGCGUGUAGGCGGCCAGGUAGGUCUGCUGUGAAAACUCGAGGCUCAACCUCGAGCUGUCGGUGGAAACCAUCUGGCUAGAGUCCGGAAGAGGAGAGUGGAAUUCCCGGUGUAGCGGUGAAAUGCGCAGAUAUCGGGAAGAACACCCGUGGCGAAGGCGGCUCUCUGGGACGGUACUGACGCUGAGACGCGAAAGCGUGGGGAGCAAACAGG
rnacentral:rRNA from 1 species